rnacentral:rRNA from 1 species
UACGAAGGGGGCGAGCGUUGUUCGGAAUUACUGGGCGUAAAGGGCGCGUAGGCGGCGACUCAAGUUAGAUGUGAAAGUCCUGGGCUUAACCUGGGGACUGCAUUUGAUACUGGGUUGCCUGAAUUCGGGAGAGGAUAGCGGAAUUCCCAGUGUAGAGGUGAAAUUCGUAGAUAUUGGGAAGAACACCGGUGGCGAAGGCGGCUAUCUGGACCGACAUUGACGCUGAGGCGCGAAAGCGUGGGGAGCAAACAGG